AGCGCAUACCUUAAGUUCCGUGUGUUACGGUCUUUAUCACCGUCCAGAUCUACCACCGCCUUACGUGUACAUCUAUAUCUACGGCUGCGAUAUGUUUUUCUAUUUUCUUAUUUCUUUUUACGGCUGUGAUAUAUUUAACGUCAGUUUUUUUUUUUUUUUUGUCAGCGUUUAACGUCAGUUGUCCACAGAAUAUAUAUUUUUUUGGUAAAAGAAUAUUUCAGAGAUCUCGAUAUUUUUUGUUAAAAAAAA
rnacentral:lncRNA from 1 species